UACGAAGGGGGCUAGCGUUGUUCGGAAUUACUGGGCGUAAAGCGCGCGCAGGCGGUUUCUCAAGUCAGUGGUGAAAGCCCGGAGCUCAACUCCGGAACUGCCAUUGAAACUGUGAAACUUGAGGACGAGAGAGGUGAGUGGAAUUCCCAGUGUAGAGGUGAAAUUCGUAGAUAUUGGGAAGAACACCGGUGGCGAAGGCGGCGAGCUGGUCCAUUACUGACGCUGAGGCGCGACAGCGUGGGGAGCAAACAGG
rnacentral:rRNA from 1 species